UUCACCGGCUCAAAGUCCAUUCGGUUGUUCCUUAACUGUUGUGUUUGAAAUUAAGAAUUGGACAAAAUGCCUUAUAUUCUUGUUCGAUCCAACUUCGACGUUGCACAAGAAUUCGACGCCAAGCUUUCCAAGCUCAUGUCGGAACUGACGAAAAUGCACGAGGGGUACAUCCUUUCCCAAGUUCGCGUCAACAAACGCAUGCUCCUUGGGGGGCUCGGCUGAUAAGUGUGUGUACAGUGACGUACGUUUGGCAGAUGUUCUGCUGAGUAACGAGAAAGACAAGGAAAGAUACUACAGGGAGAUCCACAACUUCCUCGUUGGAGAGCUUGGUGUGGAGCCUGCAAGGUGCACCAUGUCUAUGAUAUCGGUCCCCCUUGACGUCGGGAGCGUUGGAGGGGUGCCAGUGUCGCAGUGGGUCCCUCCGACUGACUGGUACGGUGGAUACUGAGACCGUCUGGGCCUCAAGAGGAUCUGUACACAUUCCAAUCACAAGAAUACCAAACGAGGCCAUUAACGGUCACUUCAUAAAGAAGCUUUCGUAAAAUUCAUUCAUGUCAAUCAUCUCUCCAAAACUUCCAAAGCGGUGAGCCCAUAGCAUUUCACCAGCGCUACACUGCGGCGUAGUCACC